GACGAACGCUGGCGGCGUGCUUAACACAUGCAAGUCGAACGGAAAGGCCCUGCUUUUGUGGGGUGCUCGAGUGGCGAACGGGUGAGUAACACUUGAGUAACCUGCCCUUGACUUUGGGAUAACUUCAGGAAACUGGGGCUAAUACCGGAUAGGAGCUCCUGCUGCAUGGUGGGGGUUGGAAAGUUUCGGCGGUUGGGGAUGGACUCGCGGCUUAUCAGCUUGUUGGUGGGGUAGUGGCUUACCAAGGCUUUGACGGGUAGCCGGCCUGAGAGGGUGAGCGGCCACAUUGGGACUGAGAUAGGGAGCAGACUGCUAAGGGAGGCAGCAGUGGGAAAUAUUGCACAAUGGGCGGAAGCCAGAUGAAGCAAAGCAGCGUGCGGGAUGAAGGCCUUCGGGUUGUAAACAGCAUUAGCCUGUGACGAAGCGUGAGUGACGGUAAUGGGUAAAGAAGCACCGGCUAACUACGUG
rnacentral:rRNA from 1 species